rnacentral:rRNA from 1 species
GAUGAACGCUGGCGGCGUGCCUAAUACAUGCAAGUCGAGCGAACAGACGAGGAGCUUGCUCCUCUGACGUUAGCGGCGGACGGGUGAGUAACACGUGGAUAACCUACCUAUAAGACUGGGAUAACUUCGGGAAACCGGAGCUAAUACCGGAUAACAUGUUGAACCGCAUGGUUCAACAGUGAAAGACGGUCUUGCUGUCACUUAUAGAUGGAUCCGCGCCGCAUUAGCUAGUUGGUAAGGUAACGGCUUACCAAGGCAACGAUGCGUAGCCGACCUGAGAGGGUGAUCGGCCACACUGGAACUGAGACACGGUCCAGACUCCUACGGGAGGCAGCAGGAGGGAAUCUUCCGCAAUGGGCGAAAGCCUGACGGAGCAACGCCGCGUGAGUGAAGAAGGUCUUCGGAUCGUAAAACUCUGUUAUUAGGGAAGAACAAAUGUGUAAGUAACUAUGCACGUCUUGACGGUACCUAAUCAGAAAGCCACGGCUAACUACGU